rnacentral:lncRNA from 1 species
GGAGAAGAUUACAGUAAUAGCAUAGCACGGAUAUACGAAGUGCAGCAACAGUUCAACAAUACUACUAUAGCCACGAUUGCAACCAGAAGAAUUCAUGGUGCAAGCACGAAGCACGUGGAGGAGGCAAGGCAAUAGCCUAGCAAGCACAGAGAUACAUACAUGUAUUCUACUAAAAAAAGAUUGCUUAUCCUUAGAGCAAAUAAUGGGGAAAUUGAUGAAGACCACCACCAAUCCUUGUUAGUGCCUGCCUACUUUCGAUCGUUGCAGAUUGAGAUGGGUCAUCCUCAUCAUCUGUUCUGGAUGUGGAGGCCAUGUGGUGUUAUGAUCUUGUGCUAUAAACUAUACAUACAUACAUGCCUCUUUUUCUCCUUUUUCUUUUUCUUUAUGGAACAAAAGCUGAAUACAUUUAUCUUUAGCUUUUCAAAAGUCACAGUAGAAAACCUUUCGUGCCUUGCAAUUGAU